AACUCACCCUAUAAAUAGGUUUGCGUCACGUCGUAUGUUCUCUUCUCACGGCUCUCUGACUCGAGUCCACACCGGAGUCGCCACCGCAUUGCAGGAUGACAGCCAAACUCUUCCCUGUAGGAUAUGACUUACUGCCACGUGUGAUGGAGGGAACCUUACCCGACUGUUGGAGCUGCCCUUCUGGGACAUGAGGUGCUGUGGAGCUCAGACCAGCUUGUAGGUUUCCUCACUGCCCGGGGCUUCUGCACCGAUGCAACAUGUGAAACAUCAUUGAAGGAUGGCCUGCUUAUCCCAGACCUCAGCAGGGAUUUUGCUUAAAAAGUCCGUUGUGAUGCUGGAGCUCUGAACUUGUAGCAGGCUGAGACUGAACUUGAAGCAGCAGUCUCUGCUGCUCAGCGAAGCCUCGCAUCAGACCAGAAGGACCUAAACCUGAGAUUGUGAAUUGAUCCUGGAGGCGUGGCAUGAGGAGCAUCUCUACCUUCUGGCUGUAAGUAAUGGUUCAUAUUAUUGGUCAUAUACCAAGGCUCUCAGGACAACCCCGUUCCUGUCUCGCUGUGGAAUUGACCAGAAAUCAACCCCCAUCCCACAGGUCCUCUGCAGCAACCGCUCAGAGGACCUGUGGGAACAUGUUGUCUUAUAAUGUGAAAUAAAACUGAUUGUUUUACAGAUUGGACCGACAUUAAUUUUACAUUUUCAGAUUGAAGUGAUCGUGGAGGCGUGGCUACAGGAGCGUCGCCGCCUGCUUCCCUCUGUGAGUAACGGUCCUGUUCUUCAUGUUGGUCAUAUACCAAGGCUCUCAGGACUCCCCGUUCCUGUCUCGCUGUGGAAUUGACCAGAAAUAAACCCCCAUCCCACUGGGCCUCUGCAGCAGCCGCUCAGAGGACCUGCUGGGAACAUGUUGUCUAAAGUCAGAUCGUCUGUAAAAAAUAAAGUAAAUGAAGUGGUGGACUGACCUCCUUGCUGGUGAACUUAAUGGCUGAACCUUUCCUUGUCAGGUUGAGCUGAUCUGCUGGUGACCGACGGAGACGCAGCUGUGAGCCCUCUGAUUGGCUGUGUUGUCUACUUAUUAUCUAAUAAAAUAUUACACACCACAA